GAUGUAGUGUAAGAGGUAACACACCGGACUUUGACUCCGUCAUUGUGGGUUCGAGUCCCGCCGUC
rnacentral:tRNA from 1 species